rnacentral:misc_RNA from 1 species
GAUGAAGAACGCAGCGAAACGCGAUACUUGGUGUGAAUUGCAGAAUCCCGUGAACCAUCGAGUCUUUGAACGCAAGUUGCGCCCGAAGCCACUAGGCCGAGGGCACGCCUGCCUGGGCGUCACACGCCGUUGCCCCCCCAUCUACUCCUUCGGGAUUGCGGGGGGGCGGAUGAUGGCCUCCCGUGCGCCUAGCCGCGCGGUUGGCAUAAAUACCAAGUCCUCGGCGACGCACGCCACGACAAUCGGUGGUUGCGAAACCUCGGUUGCCCGUCGUGUGCGUUCGUCGCGCAUCGAGGGCUCGAAAAAAUGCUCGGCUCCGGCUGGGCUUUCAACGCGACCCCAGGUCAGGCGGGGUUACCCGCUGAAUUUAAGCAUAUCAAUAAGCGGAGGA